UAAUGGCUUAAUAAAUUUUCAGGAAGACAUACCAAGGAACGUCCGACUGUUUGGCUUCCUCGGGGUUCCUUUCAUUGUUCUCUGGGUCGUUUACCUAUCAAUACAAUACAUGAAUAUUGAGAUUAACAUCCGACAAGUCUAAUAAUAAAUAAAACCUGAUGGAUAAUUUUAGAAACAUUUUUUAAAAUUAGUAUAAUAGAAUUAUAGGUGCAGUGUAUCAAUUUCCUGUGUGUAUAUGUAAGAAAAAAAUAGCAAUAAAUAAAAUAUGUAGACCAGGGUCAAAGUGUAUUUGGAACGAUGAUCGAAGGCUUCACCUCGCCCUGGAAUCAUCACGAUGUCAUCAACUACAACUAACCAUUGCCCUCAAUAUCCUGUACUAGUCCCUAGACAAUGAUACCAUUGUGAUAAAAGAUGAUGACAAGUAAGUGUUCCAAGAGAGAAAGAUAAUAAGAAUCGAAAGAAAAAAAGAACCAUAAUGAUUAUUGAUAAUUAAAUGAUCUUGAUGAAAAUCACGAUAAUGAUGAACAUAAGGAUUAUGCCAAUUAUCAACCUUUCAACAUUUUUGUUAUUAAUAAGUAUAAAAUUUAUGAACUUAUCAAUGCCAGCAGCACCAACAACAUCUCUAUAAUAAAAUAAUAGGAGCAAAAAAGGAAAUUGGACAAAUGAAAAUGUGCCAUUUUUAAACCAGUGGAAUUAAUUUUUUUUUUUUUUUUUUCUAUAAAAACGUCUCAAAUUAAACCCAGGAAAAAAAAGUUAAGUGGAGUAAGUAGGAAAUGAAAAAUGAAAAUUUUAAAUGAGUCGUAGAAUUCAUCAGAGACAGAGAUGGAUCAUACUAUUUUUCUCUCAGAGAAUAGUGCCUAGAUGACUUCCUGUGAGUUAGUGAGCCGAGAGAUAAUAUUAGGCGGAGGUUUUAAGUAUGAAGAACACGAGAUUGAAAGAGACAGUAAAAAUAAAAAUGAGUUAUAAGCACAAGCCUUAAAUGAAUAAAAAUAACAGUUGUUAAAUUUAUAUUUAUAUUUAUAUUUAUGUCUAUAUAAAUAUAUGUAUGAUGUGUCUAUCAUACAUAAAGCAAAGGAACGUGAGAUGAAAGACAAAAUCUUAACUUAAUCUUCAGUGGGUUUUCGAUUGUUCUAAAAGUGUAUUGUAACAUCAGUAAAUUUUCACAGUGUAGAAUGACAAUCAGAGUCAAUGCCUCUGAUAACGUAAUUCUCGUUAGAUGAACCCUUGCCUUAGAAUGAGGUGUUGCGUACAUAUUGCACCACGAGUGCAUAUCUCAUUGUCUCAUCUCUCUUUACUAUAUCAAUCAUAAAACCUCUUCUCUGAUGUAUCUACUCUACUUCCUACUCGACACUCGUAUAUCGGGGUAGACGUACCAGUUUAGUUGUGCUAAACAUAACAACUGGUCAAUUACAAUUUAUAUAUUAAACUCAUAUCAAAUUAUUUGCUAUUACAUCGCAACUUCAAUCAAAUUUUAUCAAGGGUGUUUAUUUAAUAAUAAAAAAAACUUAAAUUUAUUAUUGAGAUGUAUCUAUGCGGAGAAAUAUGAGAUGACAUGAGACGUAAAUAAAAUUAUAAAAAACCGCAUAUUUUACGUUGUCACAAAGUCCACGUGGUUAUUACAUGCGUAGAAAAAAUUAGUAAAUGAUAUUUAUACUAUAAUGAAUGAAUGUAUAAUUUUAUUGUAAAUAAGAUUUAAAUUAUUCAAGUUCCAGUCGUCCAAGACUAUCAACAAAGUUGAAAAAAUUUUUGAAUUAUACUAUACACGAAGAAGAAGAAAAAGAAGAAGAAGAAGAAGA
rnacentral:lncRNA from 1 species